rnacentral:lncRNA from 1 species
UCAUUGGUCCCUCGACGCUUUGUCUGAUUCUUCAACGCAUCAUCCUCUCUUGCGGCCUAUUGCCCAAUUGGCCAGUUGACUCUGUAACUCCAAUAUCCUUGGUGCAAUACCCACUCUUCUUGGCCUGAUGCCCGAAUCCAUGGCCCGAAGCCUUCUAUCGAUACGUUGACCGAUCCACCUGCCCAACGUCCAAUCUUCUGACA